UACAGAGGGGGCAAGCGUUGUUCGGAAUUAUUGGGCGUAAAGGGCUCGUAGGCGGUUUGUCGCGUCGGGAGUGAAAACACCGGGCUUAACUCGGUGCUUGCUUUCGAUACGGGCAGACUAGAGGUAUUCAGGGGAGAACGGAAUUCCUGGUGUAGCGGUGAAAUGCGCAGAUAUCAGGAGGAACACCGGUGGCGAAGGCGGUUCUCUGGGAAUAUCCUGACGCUGAGGAGCGAAAGUGUGGGGAGCGAACAGG
rnacentral:rRNA from 1 species